rnacentral:lncRNA from 1 species
AACCAUGUUCUUGCGAAUUAUUCCAACUAGACUGAUUCCCCUUAAAUGCUACAUUAUUAGAAUUAUUAUUAUCUUCACCAUCAUUAGUCCAGCUGCCAGAUCGUCCUUGAUUAAAGGAUCUUCCUCGACCACUUUCAUCUCGACCUCCUCGCCAACCACCUCGUCCUCUCCUGCCACCUGAUCCACGACCUCCAUCAAAUUCUCUUGGCCUUCCCCAGCUCCCUUCUUGGUCUGUACCACCACCAUUGUUCCCACUCUCACCUUUCCAACCACCAAACGUACCACUUGGCUUUUUCCAACUUUCAUUUUGAUCAGACCCUUUUGACUCCUCGGUGGUUUGAUCCACCGGCUUACCCCAAGAUGAACCCCCUGCAGCUUGUUUACCCCAAGAAGACCCACCAUCCUGUUUGCCCCAAGUAGAUCCACUAUCUUCGCCCCCACCAGACCCAGCUUCUUUCUUAUUCCAAGCUGAUCCACCACUUCCUUUGUCCCAUAACGUAACUCCAGCUUGCUUGGUGAAAGAUACAUCAUCCUUUUUAUUCCAUGAAGUACCAUCAUUUGGCUUGCUCCAAGAGGUUUUGCUGUCGUCAGCCUUGCUCCAGCUAGAUCCACCAUCUUGCUUUUUCCAGUCGUUCUCUGCCUUCGUAUCUGAUUGCUUAACCCCCCAAGAGGAUCCACCUUCACCUUCAUUCUUCUUCCAAGAAGAUCCAGCAUCCUGCUGGCUCCACGAGGUUUUGCUAUCUGUCUGAUUUGAUCCACCAUCUUGCUUUUUCCAUCCAGUUUCUGCAUUUGCAUCAGAUUGCUUACCCCAAGAAGAUCCACCCGCUUGCUUACUCAAAGAAGAGCCACCAUCAUUUUUAUUCCAAGAAGAUCCGGCUCCCUGCUGACUCCACGAGGUUUUGCUAUCUGUCUUGUCCGAACCACCAUCUUGUUUAUUCCAGUCAGUCUUUGCAUCAGAUUGCUUUCCCCGAGAAGAUCCACCAUCCUGCUUGCCCCACGAGGUUUCUUGAUGUGAUUCAACCUUUUUGCCCCAGCCAUCAGACGCACCACUAGUGACACCAGCAGUAGAAGCAGCUUUCCCCCAACCAUCAUCUUGCCCAGAGCCAGUGUUCUCUUGAUGUGAUUCAACCUUUUUUCCCCAGCCAUC